CAGUCGCCGCGGUAAUGCGGAGGGUGCAAGCGUUAAUCGGAAUUACGGGGCGUAAAGCGCACGCAGGCGGUUUGUUAAGUCAGAUGUGAAAUCCCCGAGCUUAACUUGGGAACUGCAUUUGAAACUGGCAAGCUAGAGUCUUGUAGAGGGGGGUAGAAUUCCAGGUGUAGCGGUGAAAUGCGUAGAGAUCUGGAGGAAUACCGGUGGCGAAGGCGGCCCCCUGGACAAAGACUGACGCUCAGGUGCGAAAGCGUGGGGAGCAAACAGGAUUAGAUACCCGGGUAGUCCCUGUCUCUUAUAC
rnacentral:rRNA from 1 species